UUCUCGAACCCGCAAAGUUAACUAGGAAUAUUAAACCUAGUUAAUAAGUGGGGAAUAUUGUUAGAAAUAAGUAGGUUGUGCCCUACUUAAUUAACUAACCAAAUUAGAGGGGCCAAUAUUGUUAAAAUUGAAACUUAACUUUAAUUAAUUAAAUAAAACACACCAAACACCCCACAAGGAGGUGUCUGGUCGUACAAGAAGAACAGGGGGGCGAUCCCCACACAUCAAAACCCUAAAUCUUCACCAAACUUGCAAAUUGAAAGCUCAAUCCAAGUCAAAAUCGAAAAUCAAGCAUAGAUUAUUGAUCCCCAUUGCAAGAGGGUUGUAAGUUUGUCGCCUAACGAGCUAGGUGGAGGCUUGGGAUAGAAGCGGUCAAACGAAUCAAGCACGAGAAGAAAAGCAUAUUCGGAUGCGAGGUACACUUUGGGAUGCCGGAAGACGAUCAAGCUCAACGAAGAACCGAACACACUAUAGAUACACGCUUCCGCACUUUGCUAUGUUGUAAAUUUUAAACAACGAAUUCAACCACGUGAUGUAGAAUAACUUAUGAUUUGUAAAAGUUUUUAGUAAACCCGUACACUUUGGGAUGCCGGAAGACGAUCAAGCUCAACGAAGAACCGAACACACUAUAG
rnacentral:lncRNA from 1 species